rnacentral:rRNA from 1 species
GAGGAUGCAAGCGUUAUCCGGAAUGAUUGGGCGUAAAGCGUCCGCAGGUGGCUGUGUAAGUCUGCUGUCAAAGAGCAAAGCUCAACUUUGUAAAGGCAGUGGAAACUACACGGCUAGAGUGCGUUCGGGGCAGAGGGAAUUCCUGGUGUAGCGGUGAAAUGCGUAGAGAUCAGGAAGAACACCGGUGGCGAAGGCGCUCUGCUAGGCCGCAACUGACACUGAGGGACGAAAGCUAGGGGAGCGAAUGGG